rnacentral:tRNA from 1 species
AAAAUCCGUCGACUUAAAAAAUCGUGAGG